GACGAACGCUGGCGGCGUGCCUAAUACAUGCAAGUCGAACGCAGUGGGGACGGGUGAGUAACACGUGGGUAACCUCCCAUCAGAGGGGAGAACACUUGGAAACAGGUGCUAAACCGACACUGAUGGAUGUACUCGCGUGGCAUUAGCUCGUUGGUGGGGUAACGGCUCACCAAGGCCACGAUGCAUAGCCGGCCUGAGAGGGUGAUCAGCCACACUGGUACUGAGACACGGCCCAGACUCCUACGGGAGGCAGCAGUGGGGAAUCUUCGGCAAUGGACGAAAGUCUGACCGAGCAACGCCGCGUGGAUGAAGAAGGUUUUCGGGUCGUAAAGCACUGUUGUUAGGGACGCGGUAUCUAACCAGAAAGCCACGGCUAACGACGUGCCAGCAGCCGCGGUAAUUC
rnacentral:rRNA from 1 species